UACAGAGGGGGCAAGCGUUGUUCGGAAUUACUGGGCGUAAAGGGUGCGUAGGUGGCCUGUUAAGUCAGGGGUGAAAGACGGUAGCUUAACUAUCGCAGUGCCCUUGAUACUGAUGGGCUUGAAUGAACUAGAGGUAGGCGGAAUGUGACAAGUAGCGGUGAAAUGCAUAGAUAUGUCACAGAACACCAAUUGCGAAGGCAGCUUACUAUGGUUUUAUUGACACUGAGGCACGAAAGCGUGGGGAUCAAACAGG
rnacentral:rRNA from 1 species